CCGAGAUUGUCGGCUUGUGGAUACCGCCUCCUUUUGAUGAUCAACCAAUCAGUAGACGAUCGCCGUCGAACAGAUGUUUGUAGUUUGCAGAAUGGAAAGCACCUUGCAGCGGAAAUUAUUUUCACUUCUACGUGAAAAUCUAGCCAGAAAACUGACCUGUCAAAUAUAAGAAACAGAAUGCUAUUCCUGAGCUUUGAUGAACUAUAAAGUAAUGGUUUGAAUUUGAAAAGCUUUAUUAUUAGACAGGGAUGAUGACCUGCAGUGAGACAGCAGUAGAAAGUUACAUAUAACUCAUCAUGACCAUUAUGGAAGAUCAGAUCAGAUGAAAAUUAUGUUUAGAAAGCCACCAAAUAUGUCUAUGAAAAGUAGAAAAAAGAUAGCAAUUCUAUGUAAAGUACUUAGCAGAAGCAUUGGCUGUUUCAAUACCUGAAUGUCAGUGUUGGAAUUUAGAAUUUUGAUGCUGAGAGAUAGACAUGAUAGAGGAACAUUAACUGGACAAUUUAGCUUCUUUUUCAUGUGUCAUUGAAGUUGAUGUUUACCAUCUUAAAAAGCUUUUACCUCAGUUAAAAUGAAUUCUAAAUACAGGCAGUUUGGAGAUUUGUGAAUUUUCUUACAAUUGGAGUUUCAAAAUGGAUUUCAUUUAAAAAAAAUAUUUAUUUCACAGAUGAAAUUUGUCGUCUCUUUCAUGAAAUAUUUGAAAAAUCAGCAAUAUAUUUUUAGCAAUACCUAACCAAAUGAGAGAUCUACAGAUAGACAUAUGAAUUUCAGUUGAACUGUGAAGAAGGAAAUAUUCAUUUAUAAGACUUAUAUAAGUGUUUUGUUAUUUUUAUGGCAAUUACGGGAAAGAUGAAGCAAUUCGAUUUAAACAUUACUCAUACCUACAGAUAUACAUGAGAUAUAGGCAUACAAUUUACUGAUGCACCACUAAUGGAUAUACAU